CAGUGUUACAGUCCCUAAUGC
rnacentral:piRNA from 1 species